UUCCUCAUCUGCUCCUGCUCCUUCCUCAGGAAAGAGAAGCCGAGAAGACCUCUGCCCCGAAGAGGUAAGUGCAAAGAGGUGCAAGGUAAGUGACACGUUCGAUGCCCCUUCAACAUCCUCAGGUAGUUUUGGAGUCAGACGUUUCUGGGAGAGGCCUUUUGACUUUUCUCUUGAUGACAGUGACUCUGAUUAGUUUAUGUUAGAACAUGUUUUUAAACUUUGUAACGCUUGUAUUAUUGUAUUGUAUUGUUUUUUUUGUUGAUAUGUGAUAUUAAUAUUACAUUGUAACUGAAAGGUAGUUUUGUAGUUGUUAUUAUUGUUAUUAGAUGGAGCUAACACCCCACCCAGAAGACAGCCUUACCCCGACCAACCCGAUGAGAAGGAUGGAUGACCAAGUGAAAAACUGGAGAGUGGUGCUGUGUUCCAACUAUGGAAGCUGAGCGUGGACAGAGCUGCACAGAGGACCAAAGAUCCACUCUCAGCACUUCAUACCUGACUGGCCACAGCACCACCCCUCCUCACCUGGGUGAGGAGGGCCCUGACCCCACCUCCACAGAGGGAGUUGUGAACAUGCACUUCUGUGUCGGUGGGUUUAGGAGCCUCCUCACACACACACGGAUGAAGACUGUCACUGGAAGAUGUCUCCAUUGCAUCAGCAGGACCUAACCAUUUGUAAAAUAUUGCAGUUUGUGAUGUUUUAUACAUGUUUUUAUUGCUUCAUUUCAAACUAGGAGAUAUAAAAUAAACCAAUUUUCAUAAUAUUUUCUGUAUAUUUAGUUGUUUUCUUAAUGUUAUUUGGAACAUCAUUGCAACCUGUCAGCUUUUUAUUGAGGAUUUAGAAAGUUGCCGGUGGCCCGAGUGUGUACAGUGGGGUGUUGUUUUUGUCACAUGGUGAAAGUGACCUGAUGGGGAGCAAAAAGAACAACUGAACAAUUUGGGGAUUCACAGACUUUGGUAAUCGUUAAAAAAAAUGAAGAAAAAUUGUUCUGUGUGAACUAAAAGCUCAAGUAUAAACCAUCCUGACACACUGACACAAAUGAUCUGCUAUCUGUAAGCAGGACAGUGUUUUCAUGAGCCUGGGUGAAGCUAAUUUGCAUGAGUUUAACCUCCUGGUCAAAAACUUGCAUGACUCUGUUAGCACUGUAACUUUCUCCUGUUUAUUUAUUAAUUUGCUAAUUGUAGUAGAUUAAUACGUUUUGAAAGGUAGUUUUUCCUCCCCACUGUCGCCAAGUGCUUGCUCAUAGGGGAUUGUUGGGUUUUUUCUUUAGUUCAGUUCAAUUCAAUUCAUUUGUAUGUAAAUACUGUUGGAUUGAAUUGAACUGAACUAAAGAAGAUUUUUAGGAGACGGAGUAGUCACUGAGUGAACCAGGGUAUUAUAACAUCUUACCCAUAAAAAACUACAACCAAUCAAAUAAACAAUUGGAUUUAACAAAACA